UGCCUGCACCUUUCUCUCUAGGGCUUCAAACAAAUGCACGUCUCUCUUUCUCUCUCUCUCUAGAGCUUCAAACAACUCUUUAUUGCGCCUGCCACUGAUUUAAUCUCUCUUUGUCUCUCUCUAGGCCUCAAACCACUCCUGUUUUAAGCAGCACUCAUUAUAAAUACAUGGGAAUACUGAAAGUCACUACGUAUAUGCGUACUGAGAAAUCAUAGGAAAUCAAUCUCCCAUCACUGCAAAAAUAUGGAGAUGAGAGUUCAGCCAUUUCUGGCGUCGGUGGGUCGCCAUUUCUACGCCUUCUUCUGUCUCGCAUUCGUCGUCUUUGCCGCUGCUCUUGCCCCACACAUACCCUCUGAUUCUGCACCAGAAAAUGCGCGCCUCAAGUCCAAGAGAAAGCUGGCAUCGCUGUAGAGAAGCUAUCUGGCCAUUUUAACCACACCAAUAUCACUUCUGCACCUUUCUCUUUCCAUUACUUUUGUUAAUUUUUCUCUAUUUUAAUCAGUUACCAUGUAUUUUGAGUCUGAUCCUUAAUCAACUAAUUCAGUUUGUUCGAAGUGGUGAUAUAUGUAAAGGAAUUGUUGGAAAUUCAGGA